CCCUCGCUCCGCCGCGGAGUCUGCGCGGCGCAGCCCGGCAGGCGGUCGGCGUCUUCAUCUCUGCGUUAGCCCGCUGGCCAGCCGUCUGUCUGUCUGUCCCGCCGCGCCGGGGCCGUCUAGGCGGAGCUGGGCUUAGGCGGCGGCAGACUCGACCCGAGCAAGCCAUGUGGUUGGGGCACUGGACCCAGAGUGCCUACCUUUGCCUGCCUGGGCCUCAGUUUUUGCAUCUGUGCAAUGGGCGUGACCAUCCCUGCACUGCUGGUGGCCAGGAGCGGCUUUGAGUCUGUGGGUGUGGCAGCGGCCUGGGGGAAGCCAUAGGGUCCUUUCACAGGUGAGGCUUGGCCUUCAUCAUGGCGGGAGGGAGACCUCAGCUGAAGAGGAGUUUCUCCAUCAUUCCCUGCUUUGUCUUCGUGGAGUCUGUGCUGCUGGGCAUCGUGGUCCUGCUUGCUUACCGCCUGGAGUUCACGGACACCUUCCCCGUGCAUACCCAGGGCUUCUUCUGCUAUGACAGUACCUAUGCCAAGCCCUACCCAGGGCCUGAGGCCACCAGCAGAGCACCUCCGGCACUCAUCUAUGCCCUGGUCACUGCUGGGCCCACCCUCACGAUCCUGCUGGGGGAGCUGGCACGUGCCUUUUUCCCUGCACCACCUUCAGCCAUCCCCAUCACUGGGGAGAGCACCAUCGUGUCUGGGGCCUGCUGCCGCUUCAGCCCCCCGCUGCGGAGGCUGGUCCGCUUCCUGGGGGUCUACUCUUUCGGCCUCUUCACUACGACCAUCUUCGCCAAUGCGGGGCAGGUGGUGACCGGCAAUCCGACGCCACACUUCUUGUCCGUGUGCCGCCCCAACUACACGGCCCUGGGCUGCCCGCCACCCUCACCGGACCGGCCAGGGCCCGACCGUUUCGUCACCGACCAGGGUGCCUGCGCUGGCAGCCCCAGCCUGGUGGCCGCUGCGCGACGCGCCUUCCCCUGCAAGGACGCUGCCCUUUGCGCUUAUGCCGUCACCUACACAGCGAUGUACGUGACGCUGGUGUUCCGCGUGAAGGGCUCCCGCCUGGUCAAACCCUCACUCUGCCUGGCCCUGCUGUGCCCCGCCUUCCUAGUGGGCGUGGUCCGCGUGGCAGAGUACCGCAACCAUUGGUCGGAUGUGCUGGCCGGCUUCCUGACUGGGGCCGCAAUCGCCACGUUUCUGGUCACCUGUGUCGUGCACAACUUCCAGAGCCGGCCACCCUCUGGCCGAAGGCUCUCUCCUUGGGAGGACCUGGGCCAAGCCCCCACCAUGGACAGCCCCCUCGAAAAGUUAAGUGUGGCCCAGGAACCCGAGGCCUGCAGGCCGCAUUCGACACCGGCACGGCUCACCCCAUCCAAGCCGCAGAACUGCGCCCGCCGUGGCCACCUGAUCCCCAGCUGCGUGUCCUCCAGGGCUCCAGCCAUGUGUUCGUCGCCCCGUGUGCCCCGCCCUCGACUGAGGUCUGAGCCGACGCCCCUGCCUCUGCCCCUGCCCCUGCCAGCGCCAACCCCCAGCCAGGGCCCCUCGCCCUCCUCCCCUGGGCCUGGGGGCCCUGGUGGGGGUGGUGGCCGUGGCCGGAAGCUGCUGCUGCCCACGCCCCUGCUGAGGGACCUCUAUACCCUUAGUGGACUCUACCCCUCCCCCUUCCACCGGGACAACUUCAGCCCUUACCUCUUUGCAAGCCGUGACCACCUGCUGUGAGGCCCAACACCCACCCAGAAUCUGCCCAGUCCCCAUUUCUUCCCUGCCACGCGUGUGUGUGCGUGUGCUGUGAGUGCCAAAGCCCCUGUCCCCAAACCAGCCAGGCCUAGACAUCAGAGGAUGGCUGGAAGGACACCUGGGCAACCCCCCUCCCUGCCUCUCUUGCCCUCUGGGACAUCCAAGUGUGCAUAAUUGGGAAGUGGGGCCUUGCCUCGUUGGAUCACCCUUUUAAGGGCCAAAGCCUGACCCCACUACUGGUCAUUGCCCAGGCAAUGGGAGCCCCCACAGUUCUCAGAAUUCUAGCCAAAAGGAGUUUACUCCAGCCAAUAUGAGCCUCCCUAUCACUUCUUAGAAGCCUCAGGCAAGAGGGCAACUCUAGUUAGUGUUCAGAGUCUGAACAACCAAUAGGAGUCCUUGGUUCUCAGAAUUUCUAGGGUGGGUGGGUAUGAUUCCAGUCAAUGGGGGACCGCCCAUAUCUAAGCAGGUGCAAAGCAGAGGAGGGAGAUGGGGUCAUCUUUUGUCACUGAGUCCUCUCUCCUCAGAAUCAGAGGGUCCAGCUGGAGGGUGGGGGGCAGGUUCCCCCAUGGCAGGGUCCUUGGGGUACCCCUUCCUCUCUCAGCCCCUCCCCCAUGUGCAAUCUCUCACCCAGCCCAUCCUAACUCCCUACUUAUGCAGGGCUUGCCCCAGUUCAGAAGUUUUGGGGUUCAGGGUGCUGUGUCCCCUCUUGCCUGUGUCCAGGUCACCCCAAACCCUUCUGUUAUUUAUUAGGGCUGUUGGAGAGGAGUUUUUUUUUUUUCCUUAGAACCCAAGCCCUGUUCUUUGCACUGCCCCCCAUGCCUCAGACUUACACAGAUGUGCCAUCAUAGGGGCAUGCGUGAAGCAGAGAGGGCUCCCCACUCCAGGCAGCCAAAGGCAGUGGGCAGGGGAAACACUGCCCCCCCUUUCCUGCCCCCUCCUCAUCUUUAAUAAAAACCUGUUUGUAACAGAAGUUUGGCCACCUGCCUUCCUACCUGUGGCAGGGUGUGGAAGACUUUAAUUUGGGAUCUAGGUGUCAGUGAGGCUGGGUGUGGGUAUACUGUCACAGGGCAAUUGUGGAGAGGCAGCAUGGGGCUAUGGGGUCCCUGACUUGGUUUUAAAUCCUGGCCCAGCAUUUCCUGGCUGUUUGACCUUAGGAAAAUUAAUUAACCUCUCUGUGCCCUUGUUUUUUCAUCUGUCAAAUCCGAACAGCCCCAUCAGCCACAUGUAAGGCACACAAACACACUGUGAGGAACCUCACAUGACUGUCCUCCCCAGGCAGCUAGCCUGUUUCUGACCAUGGGGUGCAGAGGGCACAAAGAAUAGGGUGAGAUGACCCUCAGGGUCCUAAGAGAAGGGGAUGCUGAGGGCAGUAGGAACCUCCAAACUGAACCCCUGACUACACGGCUUUGAGCAGGGGUCUGAUUAUGAGGUUGUGCUGAGAACCAACCUCUGAGAGCCCAACAGAGAGUGGCGAAGGUAGGGACAGAGCGCCACAGACCCCCCCCCCCUACACACACUGCUUCUGAAGGGCUUCAGACAGCCCAUUCAGGGCAUAGGGUCAUCCAGAAACCAGGAAAGGGGAGUCUGUUUUGUUUUCUCAUUCAUUCAUUUAUUCAUUCAUCCAUCCAUUCAUUCAUUCAACAAAAACUAUGGAGCACCCCCUGCAUGCCAGGUGCUGUUCAGUUAGGCACAAGGGCUGCAGUGGUGACCAGAACAGACACAAAAUCCUACCCUCAUGGAGCUCACAUCCUAACAAGAUAAAUAAGCCAAACACAAAACUACAAUUCCAAAUUUCAAGAAGGUCUGAAAACCAAUAUUUUUUCCAUAACUCAUUUGUGGCAAGACCUGAACUGACAUUAGGUUAUUACAGCUUUUACUUAUUUAACUUUAUGUAAAUGUUCUUAUGUUUUGUUGCAGAUAAACUAGAGUAUUUAAUUUAGAGUAUUAAAUUAACACCCAGGUCCAACCAAGGGUGUUAUUCAAUACAUAGAAUUUACACCAUAGUACUUUUUGAAAAUCUGAAAAGGUAUCAGGAUCAAGGAUUUAGGUCAGAGCAUGAGAUCUCUGAUAUGUUAGCUAUUGAUAAGUGAUAAGGUGAAAAUUCAAGCUAGAGAAGAAGUUCCCAUUGUGCCUCAGCAGUAACAAAUACGACUAGUAUCCACGGAUGCGGGUUUCAUCCCUAGCUUUGCUCAGUGGGUUACGGGUCUGGCGUUCCUGUGAGCUGUAAUAUAGUUCGCUGACGUGGCUCAGAUCCCAUGUUGCUGUGACUGUGGUGUAGGCUGGCAGCUAUAGUUCCAAUUCAACCCCUAGCCUGGGAACUUGCAUAUGCCACAAGUGUGGCCCUAAAAAGAAAAAAAGAAAAAAAAGACACUGGGACAACUUUGGGAUGGUGACACAGUUUGCAAUUUAAAGAGGGUGGUCAGGCAAGUUAUUUCUGAGGAGUUGGCACUGGAGAUGAGGUGUGAAAGAGGGAGGGAAGGGAACCAAGCCAAUAUCCGACGUGUGGGGCUGGGGAGCAUUCCAGGCAGAGGGAACAGCAAGAACAAAAGGCUCUGAAGUGGAAACAUGCCUGCUGUGCUGCUGGAGCUGAACGAUGGGAGACACAGGGAGAGGGAGUGAGGGAGGUGGUGGUAUUCCUUGUGGGCCACAGGGAAUGAGAGGGGUGCAUGAGAGGGCUGAAAGCAGAGAAUGGACAGAAUCAUGGAGUCCCCUGCUUCACUGCAGAGUUUCUUUCCCCAGGGCUUGCACCCCCUGAGACCCAUGCUCCCUUAUGUCAUACAGCUGCCUCCACGCAGGCCAGGAAAGAAGCAAAACUUCAGCACAAAGGACAGCGCCCUAUGGCCAAACCAGUUGACGCUGUCCACGGUUCUGAUACUAGGCAUGGGCCACGAAAGGGUAAAGUCGGGGCUGCCAGACACAAAGCAAUGAGAUAGCAGCCCUAGCCUUUGCCUACACACACAUCCCAGGGCGGAUAAUCUUAGGUAUAAAAUCCAGACUAAUGUGUACUUGUUUAUUCAAAAGGCUCUUGAUGUUCCCCAGUAGGUCUCAUAGCCUCUCAAACUCAACCAAAACCAAACUCCAAUUUAUAAUAUGUCAGACUAUGAUCCUCUUGUACUCAAAUUCUCUCUUGGGUCCCCACGGCAUUCUGUGUAAAAGCCAAAGUUCUGCCAGUGCCUUCACCUGGAACGCUCUUUAUCCUUAGCAUCCGUUAUCUCCUCCCUCGCUAGGAUAUCAGUCCCACCAGGACAGAAUCUUUGAUGUCUAUCCACCAAUGAGCCCCUAUGCCUAGAACAAGACCGGGCACACAGUAGGUGUUCAACAAGUGUUUGCUAAAUACAUGAACUGAUCACUUCAGGAUGCUGAUAAACAGGCAGGAGCAUAGACUGUCACUGAGCUGUCCACCACCCUGUCCCCUCACUCUUCAGUCCUGCCUCCUCCAGGGAGCUCCUCUAAGCUAAGGGUCCUUCUGUCAAGACAUGAAGAUGGGAUCCUGAGAAGUGAGGCAAAGAAGUACUACACACAUGAGAGAAACACCUAAUAUCACAUCUUCGCCAAUGUACUCACUCAGCUGCAUUUAGAAGCACCUACUAUAUACCAGGUGUGGUUCUACGAUCUAGGAAGCCAGAAAGAAAGAGGAGCCCUACCCUGGCAGAGCUGACAUUCUAGUGGGAAGAGAGGCAAUAAGGUAAAUACAUAAGGUUGGAAGUGAUGUUAUUUGAAGAGAAACAAGCAGUUAAAGAGUGAAGGGGUGUAAUUUUACACAGGUGGUCAAGGAAAGCUUAAGUAGGUGAUAUAUGAGAAGGCACCUAAACUGAAUGAAAAAAACGAGGGAUAUCUGACAGCUGAAUGCUCUAAACAAGGGAACAACAAGUGCAAAGGACCUAAAACAAGGCUGUGUUUGGCAUGCUCCUAUGUAUAUAACUGUGUGGAACUCUGUGAUACAAUUGUCUCUGCUGGGUGCUUGUGCAUUUAGAGUGCUAUAAAAUUGAGGUGAAUCAUGGGCCUGAGGUGGUACAUUUACAGGGCAAUGUAACAGUAUGUCGUGUGUGUGUGUGUGUGUGUGUGUUGGGGGGAGAAAUGGUAUGAUUGUAUCAGAGUGUGUUCUGGUGUGUGUGCAAGGGAAAGGGUGUGGAGGCAUGAAUAUGGGAAAGAGUAUGUAUGGGAUACUUUGUGUCAGGAUAGGAUAGGGCAGGGAGCAUGUGGGUGAUGGGGAUUCUGAAAGUGAAAUAUAUGCAGAGAUGCCAUGUGUGCAUGCAUGCGUGUGUGUGUGUGUGUGUGUACGUGCCCAGCUGUGUGAGUGGGUGUAUUAUUGGAGGAUGUUGUGGAGCUGUGUUCCGGCCCCAGAGGGAGAGAGAAAGCCCUGGAAAUCUCAGUUCCUCCCUGCCCCUGGGUCUCCUGGCAACAGCACCACUUUGAAGUUACCAGGAGACAGAGUUGCCAGGGCAACAGGGGUAUGAGUGGCAGCUCUGGGGAGAAAUCUGGGUGAAGAGACACAACCACUGAUCACUUGAUCACUCACCUUGUUCCUCCUUCUCUCCCAGUUUCUCAUCAAUCCUACUUUCCUUUCUUCAUUCAUUCCUUUAAGGAGACUAUAUUGAGAAUCUACAAUGCCCUAGGCACUGUUCUGGGUGCUGGAGAUACCAAAGUGAACAUGACAAACAAGGUCCUGCUGUGGUUCUCCCUCAGUCUCCCAGCCCCCUGAAUCUCUGCCUAUUCUCUCCUGUGCCCCCUUUUUGUUGUUUGGUCCUGCCUCCCCCUGUACUACAAGCAGGACUCAAGAAGCCCCCAGGCCAGUGAGGAAGCCAGCUGAGACUCUUCUCACAGACACUAAGAGACAGCUGCUGAUGUUUUGCACAUGAAUGUCCUCAAGCCGGCAGUCCCAGACACAUUUGUGCUGGUAUUCAGGUGCAGAGAGAAGCACAUAGCUCAUCCAUCUCUCUUCUCCAUUGUCAUUGGGUGUUAUCAGCAGAAACACACACAGACACGUGCCUAUCACAAUAUUCCUCUGAGAUACCAUGAGCUACAAUUUACAGGUAAAAAACUGAGGCUAAGAGACUUUAAACAAUGUGUCAGUGAUUAGGACCUGCUCCCUCCAACUCUCAACACUUGUAUUGCCUGACUAGCAGAACGACUCACAAUAGUAGUAUUUGUGCUGCUUCGGCCAGCGGACUCACCAGGGAAGAGCCUUAUCUCCCUCAAAGGCCUCCAUCCCUUCCUCGGACUAGGUUAUUUGCCGCUUCACCACCAGAGGAACUGGGAAACAGCGAUCUACCUUUGAUGAGCAGAGCCUCGAACCAAUGGAGAAGCUAAGUACACUGUGGCCAAUGAGAUCUCGCCUGCGGCGGGAUUAAGGGCAGGAUCGGGCCACGGAUUGGACAGACGUUUGCUGCGAAUGGCGGAGACGCUGAGGCGGGUGCUAAACUCUGGCAGCGCGGCCGGCCCCGCGGAGGAGAGCACGGCUGAGGCCGGACCGCCUUUGCUGCUGCUUGGCGGUCCAGGCUCUGGAAAGACAGCACUGCUAUUCGCGGCGGCCCUGGAGACGGCAGGAGAGGGCCAAGGCCCCGUACUCUUCCUCACCCGGAGGCCUCUGCAAAGCUUGCCCCGCGGGACCCGAGCAGCGCUGGAACCCCUGCGGUUACAGAAAAUCCGCUUCCAGUAUCCACCCUCAACCCUUGAGCUCCUCCGGCUCCUGUGCUCUGCGCAUGAGGCCAGGGGGGCAGCGCCCUCCCUCCUGCUGCUCGAUGGCCUGGAGGAGUACCUAACAGAAGACCUUGGGCCCCAGGAAGCCGCCUACCUGGCCGCCCUGCUUGUGGACACAGCUGCCCACUUCAGCCACCAGGGUGGGCCUGGCCAGGGCUGUGGGCUCAUUGUGGCUCUCCAGACCCAGGAGGAAGGAGACAGUGGGGAUGCCCAGCCACUGGCGCUGCUCCAGAGGUAUUUCCCUGCCCAGUGCUGGCUGCAGCCCAAUGCAUCAGGCCCAGGACAGCACUGCCUCCGAGCCUGCCUGGAGCCAGGCGGGCUGGAACCCAGGGCAGAGUGGUGGGUGACUUUCCAACCGGAUGGAGAGAUGACGGUCACACAGUGGCCCACCCAGGCUGGUGACACUGGCUCACACAAGGGUUCAAGCUCUGAAGGGCAGUCUUGAGCUUUGGUGUGUGACAACCUCUCUAUGCCUAAGUUUCCCAUGGCUGGAAUACCUACCUCAGAGACAUGCAGAUUCAAAGACUUAAAGAUUGUAAAGUGCUUUUUCUCUCAUAAACAUAGCAUUUUCAUG